UCCUGGGUAGCUCAGAUGGGAGAGCAUGGGACUCUUAAUCUAAGGGUUGUGGGUUUGAGCCCCAUGUUGGGCA